GCCCGGAUGGCGGAAUUGGUAUACGCGAUAGGUUGAGGACCUAUGCUCGUAAGGGCGUGCGGGUUCAAGUCCCGCUCUGGGCA
rnacentral:tRNA from 1 species